AUUGUACGCUGGCGGCAGGCUUAACACAUGCAAGUCGAACGAGUGGCGGACGGGUGAGUAAUGCUUGGGAAUCUAGCUUAUGGAGGUGGAUAACUACUGGAAACUGUAGCUAAUACCGCGUACCAUAGGAUGAGCCCAAAUGGGAUUAGGUAGUUGGUGGGGUAAAGGCUCACCAAGCCGACGAUCCCUAGCUGGUCUGAGAGGAUGACCAGCCACACUGGAACUGAGACACGGCCCAGACUCCGACGGGAGGCAGCAGUGGGGAAUAUUGCGCAAUGGGGGCAACCUGACGCAGCCAUGCCGCGUGAAUGAAGAAGGCCUUCGGGUUGUAAAGUUCUUUCGGUGGCGAGGCGUUAACCACAGAAGAAGCACCGGCUAACUCCGUGCCAGCAGCCGCGGUAAUUC
rnacentral:rRNA from 1 species